UACGUAGGGCGCAAGCGUUAUCCGGAAUUACUGGGCGUAAAGAGCUCGUAGGUGGUUUGUCGCGUUGUUCGUGAAAACUCACAGCUCAACUGUGGGCGUGCGGGCGAUACGGGCAGACUAGAGUACUGCAGGGGGAGACUGGAAUUCCUGGUGUAGCGGUGGAAUGCGCAGAUAUCAGGAGGAACACCGGUGGCGAAGGCGGGUCUCUGGGCAGUAACUGACGCUGAGGAGCGAAAGCGUGGGGGAGCGAACAGG
rnacentral:rRNA from 1 species